GGCUAGCUAAACCUGAAGCAUGAACAGAGCAGCGAAAAGCAGACAAUCGCUUUAGGCCUUUCCUGAUUUUUGCUUCAAAAUCUCACAUUAAGACCUCAUGCAGUGUCUGAUGAAGGCCUGCUUCCCGAAAACUUUAACACACGUACUGCCUCUUGACUUUUAUGUACUCAGCAA